AUGGAAAAUUGCAUUUUUGGAAUUUGCAAUAAUGCGAUGGGCGAACGACGGGAAUUGAACCCGCGCAUGGUGGAUUCACAAUCCACUGCCUUGAUCCACUUGGCUACAUCCGCCCCUUAUCCAGCUAAAGGAUUUUUGCUUUUUUCCAUUGAUCAUUAUUCUAUUUAUUCUGACCUCCGUACUUCGAUCGAGAUAUUGGACAUAGAAUGCCACUCUUUAAAAAGGAAAAAAGGAGUAAUCAGCUGUGACACGAAAAAAACGAAUCCUUUUGUAGCUCAUCAUUUAUUGGCAAAGAUAGAAAAGGUCAAUAUGAAGGAGGAGAAAGAAACAAUAGUAACGUGGUCCCGGGCAUCUAGCAUUCUACCCACAAUGGUUGGCCAUACAAUCGCAAUUCAUAAUGGAAAGGAACAUAUACCUAUUUACAUAACAAAUCCAAUGGUAGGUCGCAAAUUGGGGGAACUGGUAAUCUAUUCCUUCAAAAAAAUCUUGGAGAUUAUGUAA
rnacentral:tRNA from 1 species